rnacentral:misc_RNA from 1 species
AAGUCGUAACAAGGUUUCCGUAGGUGAACCUGCGGAAGGAUCAUUAGUGAAUGCCCUCACGGGCUUAACUAUCCAACCAACCUCUGUGAACCGUCGCCCUCGGGCGCUUCUAUAACAAACUAUAACUGUCAUGAACGUCGUAUACAAAAACAAAACACAACUUUCAACAACGGAUCUCUUGGCUCUC